rnacentral:lncRNA from 15 species
CACUGUGUGUUACUUUUACACUACACAGAACAUAUUGAAUCAUCAUUAUGAUAAAGGGUCACUGAAGCUGUGUCAGUCACAUAUUAUGACUCUAAAAUGGGAACUGAUUAUAGCAAACAGGAACUUCAAUCAGGAACAAGUUCCUGAUUUAUAGUCGUCUUAAGAAAGACGUGAGAAGAAACGCUUUCCUGUGUGAAAGUGAGCAGAGCAGCUGAACGUGACACAAAAUAAUAGUCUACCUUCAAUCAGUCACGUAUUUUUAAGCUUUUAAAGACUUCACAGAUUCAACCGUCUCAGUCUGCAGGAGAAUCGACUUCAGUCACAGAAAAGACGGCUCCUUUUUCAGUGGAGACAAAAUGACAAAGAAGGUCCUCUUGAGCACUCUGGACAACCUCGGAGAAGAUGAAUUUAAGCGCUUCAAGUGGUUCCUGAAGGGUAAACAACAUAAAGACUCAACUAUCCCAUGGAGCAAGCUGGAGAAUGCCAGGACGUUGGACACACUCGAUCUGAUGGUCCAGACCUACACACUUCCUGGAGCUGUGAAGGUGACGAAGAAGGUUUUAAAGAAGAUCAACAGGAACGAUCUACUGCAGAGUUUGGAAGCAAAAGUGGAUGACGAUGAUGAAGACGCUGCCUCUGAAGCUGUUAUGGCUGCAGUUGAAAUGUUCUUGGAAAUGCUGGAUGAAGUGGAGGAUGAUGAGUAUUAGGAGGAUGAAGAAUCUGAAAUCUGACAAGAAUCUGAAAUAUCACACACACACACAAAAUGGAUAUUGACAUUGUUCUUUUGCUGUUGUGUAAUUUUGCAAUAUUGAUUCUUUUCCAGUUUUCUAAAUGUUUUCAAAAUAUUUUCAAAAUGUUAAUGUUGAAAAAGUGAAAAAUAAAAAUAUUUCAUACAUGUUAUCAUUCUUGUGUGGACCCAAACAUAAUACAAAUUAAAGCUGCAAGCAGCGUUGGGUGGGACCUCGCCAUCAACUCACAUCGGGGCCUGCGCGGUGGUCGCCCGCUGCAGCUGCAGCCGCGCCACGCCACGCCCGCCCCUCGCCCAAGCCCUCAUCGCCGGAAGCCGAGGGAGACUGCUCCAUGUCGCCACGCGUUUCAGACACCGUGCAAAAGACUUACGCGUUCAAAACUUCACAUAAAUCAGAUAAAAGUUGCCACGCAGGGUUUACUUUCUGUCGCCAGUAGGUGGCGCUAUCACUAUAUCUGAAUAUUGUCAUGUAGACGUGUUCAGGGCGGGACUCUUAUCAAAUGUGAAGUUUCAUUGAGAUUGGACCAUGUACACUGAAGUUAUGAGGAUGUGUUCAGGGCGAGACGGGACGUGUACGCUGUUCGACGGAAUGUCGUAAAUAGCACAACUUUUAAUCAUGAAUGUCUUUAGAUGGCUGUGUCCAAAUCUGAAUUUGUUCCGAUCAAUUUUCUAGGAGGAUUUUGUUCAAAUAUGCGUUUGUUUGGGAGGAAAAAGAAAAAGAAGAAUUGCUUCAAUUACAAUAGGGCCUUCACACUUUCAGUGCUCGGCCCUAAUAAUUUGACCUCCUCUUCAUCAGCCUCUUUAACAGGAUGAAACUACAGUGAAAAUCCACCAUUGCAGGUGACUGAUGAGGAUUUAAAGUUUAUGUUGUUGGUUUAUACAUUCAUCCAUUUAUAUACUAUAUAUCAGUUUCUUCUGGGAUCGCCAACAUGAAAUCAGAAGGAAAAAGUGUUUCAGUGCUGGAAAAUACGUAUUUUAAAGUGUAAGGUGAAGAAAAUUCAAGUUUCUGUAACUUAAAGGUAAAUUAAAAGAUUAAUUUGUCAAUCCAGUCAAUACAUAAGUACAGAAAUACAGAAAGUGUGAGAUUUAGUUCGGUGAAAAAUAGAUAUUUCUGUAUCCUAUUACUAAUUAAAAUGUGACGUAAUUAAUUAUUUGGAUACAGAUUAUUUCUGUUUUACUUCAAUGUGUGGAUAUUUAAACAGAUUAAUAGAGUAAGUGUGAAAAUUCAUUAACUUUACCAUAACAAGAUGGGUUUUUUUGUGUUUAAAACAUAAGCAAACUUUGAUGAAUCUCAACUAAUAAACUGUUAAAAUGCUACUAAUACUCAAAAAAAAAACUCAAAUUGAAAAUCUUCUGUACUUAAACUGAGGGCCUUAAUGUGUCUUUAAUGUAGGGAGUGGACUUUUUAGAUUAUUUCCUCGUAUUUUAAGUCCCUUUCAGAAUAAACCUGACAUAGAAAACCUUGCAACUAAUACCACAGAGACAGUAACAUGUGAAUGAUCCAGGCCCCUCCUCCCCAUUUGAUCUUUUCCCGCCCCCCUUUUGUGUCCCGAAAUACUGAGGCGAACCUGUUGCUCCCAAGUUUAGGAGCCACAGAUAGCUCAGCAGACAACACACUGUGCUGGGGCAGCAGGGGGUAAACAUCGAGGAAACGCACGCUAGAUGCGCUACCAAGGAAGACGCAACAAAAUACCCUGCCACUUCAACUGGAUCCCUUCGAAAGGUUAGUUUGAUCAUUCCCACCGGCUCCCGCAUGCAACGAGAACCUGAUCUGCCCGUUCAGUACGUAAUCUCUUUUCCGAAGAUGACAUUGUGCAUGAGUUUUCCAUGACUUAUAAAUAAACA